GAUUGAACGCUGGCGGCAUGCCUAACACAUGCAAGUCGAACGGGAGUAGCAAUACUCUAGUGGCGGACGGGUGAGGAAUACGUAGGAAUUUGCCCUUAAGUGGGGGAUAACCCGGGGAAACCCGGAUUAAUACCGCAUGACCUCGAAAGAGCAAAGUGGGGGAUCGCAAGACCUCACGCUUUGGAGAAGCCUACGUCGGAUUAGCUAGUUGGUGAGGUAAUGGCUCACCAAGGCGACGAUCCGUAACUGGUCUGAGAGGAUGAUCAGUCACACCGGAACUGAGACACGGUCCGGACCUCCGUACGGGAGGCAGCA
rnacentral:rRNA from 1 species